AACUGCGGAGGCAGAGGCACGGCAGAGGUCAAGGGCAGCGGCCCCUGCCCACCCACAGCUGCGCCCGCUAUCAGGCAGGGAGGCAGCCCAUCUCCUGGCUCCACCCUGCGAGGAAGGAGUCCAAGCUGAGCAAGAAGGUGGAGGGCGGGUGCCAGCCUGGGCCAGCUGCCUGCAGAACUCAGACCCCCCCAGGCUGAAGAUGAGCUCCUAGGCCAGCCAGGAACUUUCCUGGGCCUGGGGGGCUCUUCCUCUGUGAAUGGGAAGAGUCGCAUAGGAAGGGAACAGGAGGAAAGCAUUUCCUGAGCCUUGUGGAUUCCGCCUCAACUACUGACACAUGGGGAGAAAAGCUGGCCCAACCCAAGCACCUCAAGAACAGGAAUCAGGCGAGCUUGCUCACUCACUGCCCGGCCUCUGCUGACCACCAGGCAGCACCGAGGGCCCCUUCCCUCGUCAGUAGUGGGCCCAGGCCCAAGGGCUGCAGAAGAGGAGACUUUGUGACUUUUCUCUCCCUCACCCUGGUCCUGUAGCCCUCCCAAGGAGGCUGGAGAGCUCCAGAGCUCACUCACUGCUCUGCUGCGCCCCUUUGCCCACGGCCCAGCAGCUCCCUGCUCUCACCCAGUCAGGGAUAGCCCAGGCCCAGAGGCUCCAGGAUGGCCCUACCUUGGAGGCUACCCACCUGGCGAGCCCUGGGGAGGCCCUCAAGGUCUGAUAGGUCAGACUCUGAGGCACAGGAGCCAUAUCCAGAACAUAUGAAUUGUCCUGAAUAGGAGCCAACCCACCAUCCGUGGCCCCGACACUAGCAGACUCCCCAGAAGAUGGGAGAGCACAGCAGAUGUUCCAUUAGUAUCUGCUGACUCCCUGCUGGACAGACCAACCCCACAGGUUCUAGGUUCUGACUGGCCUCGGGCCUUCCCAGCUGGGCAGAGCCUCCCUCAUUUGAGGUACUUUGCCCCAAAGCCACAAAACCAGCACCUCCUUAGAGGACCUGAGAUGGA